rnacentral:rRNA from 1 species
AUGGGUUCUCGGGCUCGGUCCGGCCGUGGAGGAGCGGCGGCGCUCUUCGCGGCGGCGGUGAUGGUGGUCUCCUGGUUGGCGGCGGGGGUGGGCGCGAUAGGGGCCAACUGGGGCACGCAGGCGAGCCACCCGCUGCCGCCGGACACGGUGGUCAAGAUGCUCAAGGACAACGGCUUCCAGAAGGUGAAGCUGUUCGACGCCGAGGACGGCACCAUGAGCGCCCUCAGGAAGAGCGGCCUGGAGGUCAUGGUCGGCAUCCCCAACGAGCUGCUCGCCAUCAUGGCCAGCAGCAUGAAGGCAGCCGACAAGUGGGUCGAGAAGAACGUCUCUAACUACCUCAACAAAGGCUGCAACGUCAGGUAUGUUGCGGUUGGUAACGAGCCUUUCCUGUCGACAUACAAUGGAAGCUUUCUGCUAACUACCUUUCCUGCCCUCAAGAACAUACAAAGUGCACUUGUGAAGGCUGGUUUGGGCAAUCAAAUCAAAGUAACUGUUCCUCAAAAUGCUGAUGUCUAUGAUACAGCAACGGGCAAGCCUUCUGACGGGGAUUUUCGCACAGAUAUUCAUGACCGGAUACUCGAAAUUGUAAAAUUUCUGAGCGACACUGGUGGUGUUUUUACUGUCAACAUCUACCCUUUCAUCAGCCUCUACAUUGAUCCAAACUUCCCUGCUGAGUAUGCCUUCUUUGACGGGCGCUCACAGCCCGUUGUUGAUGGCUCUGCAACAUACACAAACAUGUUUGACGCAAACCACGACACGCUGAUCUGGGCUCUGAAGAAGAAUGGAUAUGGGAACCUGCCGAUCGUUAUCGGGGAGAUAGGCUGGCCAACUGACGGUGACAUGAACGCAAAUGCUCAGCUCGCCCAGCGCUUCAACCAAGGCUUCAUGACGCAUAUCGCCACUGGGCAAGGGACCCCGAUGAGGCCUGGACCGAUCGACGCUUACUUAUUCAGUCUGAUCGAUGAGGAUGAUAAGAGCAUACAGCCAGGGAACUUCGAGCGCCACUGGGGGAUCUACACAUACGACGGCAUCCCAAAGUAUCAGCUGAACUUCGGUGUACCGAAUUCACAGAUUAAAAGAGCAAGCGGCGUCAAGUACCUUGACAAGAAAUGGUGUGUGCUGAAGCCCACUGUCAGCCUCGACGACCCAAAGCUUCCAGACACGGUGAGCUACGCGUGCGCCAGGGCGGACUGCACCAGCCUUGGCUAUAGGACUUCCUGCGGGAUGCUGGACACCCGGAGCAACAUCUCGUACGCCUACAACAGUUUCUACCAGAAGAACGACCAAGACGACGUGGCCUGCGGCUUCUCGGGCUACGCGACGACCACCGGCCAGGACCCCAGCACCGGGACAUGCAGGUUCGGGAUCAUGAUCGAGGUCGACUCGGCCUACUCGUGGAAGCCGCGGCGGGUCCGAAGCAACUACCUCCUGGUGCUUCUCCUUGCACUUGUUCACCUCUGCGUGUCAUCCUCAUAG